rnacentral:rRNA from 1 species
UACGUAGGGUGCAAGCGUUGUCCGGAAUUAUUGGGCGUAAAGAGCUCGUAGGCGGUCAGUCGCGUCUGCUGUGAAAACUCGGGGCUUAACUCCGGGCCUGCAGUGGGUACGGGCUGACUAGAGUGCGGUAGGGGAGACUGGAAUUCCUGGUGUAGCGGUGAAAUGCGCAGAUAUCAGGAGGAACACCGGUGGCGAAGGCGGGUCUCUGGGCCGUAACUGACGCUGAGGAGCGAAAGCUGGGGGAGCAAACAGG